rnacentral:lncRNA from 1 species
GACAUUAGGCAGGGUAAAAGAGCGUUUCAUGUGGCACGGAAUGGUAAAAAAUGUCCAUGAGUUGCUUAUAUCAUGUGAUGUAUGCCAGAGAAUGAAUAGAAAGUUAAACUGUGGAAAACCAGAGAUGCACCCAAUAAAGUAGGUUGAAGUAAUAGCCACUAAAGACAAAAUGGCAGUUACAGUGGCAGGAUGUCUGUUCAAGGUAUUACAUUUUUAUUUCUGUCAUUGUUUUAGCAUCCUUGCUAAAUGCUACCUUUCUGGGUAU